rnacentral:rRNA from 1 species
CAGUAGCCGCGGUAAUACAGAGGGUGCGAGCGUUAAUCGGAUUUACUGGGCGUAAAGCGUGCGUAGGCGGCUUAUUAAGUCGGAUGUGAAAUCCCUGAGCUUAACUUAGGAAUUGCAUUCGAUACUGGGAAGCUAGAGUAUGGGAGAGGAUGGUAGAAUUCCAGGUGUAGCGGUGAAAUGCGUAGAGAUCUGGAGGAAUACCGAUGGCGAAGGCAGCCAUCUGGCCUAAUACUGACGCUGAGGUACGAAAGCAUGGGGAGCAAACAGGAUUAGAUACCCCUGUAGUCCCUGUCUCUUAUAC